rnacentral:lncRNA from 1 species
GGACGUUUAAGAGCCACUCUUUCACCAACUUUCAAUGUGCAACAUGAUCCUGCAAACCAUGACCACGGCGCCGCCCGCCGCAUCGUAGGGCUCACGCAGUUUGUAUCUGAGGCCCAGCUCGGUUCUGCUGCGCCGGGGCCGACACCGCGUGGCCCCCGCACGCCCCCAGCGCCCCCCUGCCGUGGCCUGGACCCUGGAGGCCCCCAGCCUGCAGGUGCGGGGGCGGGGGCGCGCGGGGAGGGCGCCUGGCUGGAAGCGGGGUGCCUCCAGCCGCCGGCUCCCAGCUGCACCCUCGUGCACCAGCCCCCAUCCCCGGCCAGCGGCGAAGGCGCAGAGUCGGUGCCCCCAGCGCGUCUGGAGGGAGCCCCAGCCUCGGCAGAGGGCAGGCGCCUCACCGGAGCCGGCCGAGGUCGCGCGGACCUGCGGCGCCCCCCACUGGCCCCCGCGGAGAGAGCAGCGGGUGCACCUGCAAGCGCUCCUGGGUUAGAGGCCCAGCGCCGCAGCUCGCAGGCGGUCGGAGUUCUCACGAGCGCACAGGCGCAGCGGCCCGCGNNNCCUGCCUCUGCCACCUGCCGCCUGCCACCUGCUUCCCGCCACCUGCCACGUGCCACCUGCCGCGUGCCUCCAGCCAUCUGCGGCCCACCACCUGCCGCCCGCCACCUGCAACCUGCUGCUUCCACCUGCUGCCUGCCACCUGCUGCCUGCUGCCUGCGGCCCACCACCUGCCACCUGCCGCCCGCCACCUGCCUCCUCCACCUGCCUCCUCCACCUGCCUCCUGCUUCCUGCUACCUGCCGCCCGCCACCUGCCGCCUGCCACCUGCCUCCUCCACCUGCCGCCUCCAUCUGCCUCCUGUUUCCUGCUACCUGCCGCCUGCCACCUGCCUCCCGCCUCCCGCCACCUGCUGCCUCCACCUGCCGCCUCCUCCCGCCGCCUCCUCCCGCCGCCUCCCCCUCUGCAGGCUGCCCCGGGGCGGGGGCGCGGGGCGCCCGACGACCGCAGCUCAGCCCCUGCAGCCUUGAGCAGGUACCCGCGCCCCCUUCCGUGGCUCCACGUCUUUUCCUUCUGUAAGAAGAACGAAGACAAAGGCCUUUGA